GUGGUUGACGAACAUGGAAAUGUGGAUAAGACGAAGGUAGUAUAUCAGGAACCCCAGAAGUUAAUCCUCAAACAAAACACGGAUGACGUCAAAGGGGUCACAUACCGAAAGGACUGUCAACAGCAUGCAUACACUGCAAGAUGUUGUGGUAUGUUGGUUUCAUUUGAUAUAAUGGCUAUAAUGUUUUUAUUUCAUGAGUUGUCACAUUCAGCACAUUCCGCACUGCAACACAUCCAAGCAAUGUUUUACGGAUCGUGAAAUGGAGAAUCAAAAUCCACCGGAUUUGAAGUUGAGAAAAUAGUGACAUCACAAUUCUCAUCGAAACGUCCCUUUACAUGCUUCAUUAAUCAUGUGUAACCAUAGAGGUGUGUUCUAAAAUAACUCAUCUCCGUCUAUUAAACACAAACACUAUACUGCUGUUGGAUAAAGACAUGGAAGAAACUGCACUUUCAGACACUGCAUUUGUUUUGACUGUCGCUUCCAGCUAAAAUACUAAAAUACUCCAUAAAAAUGCUUUGUGUAUAUAUAUAUAUACAGUAUACAUAAAUACCUUGCUAUGUGUACUGAGACUUGUCAUGUGCACUUACAUAUUCUUGCUCUUUUGUUAGUUUUGUUAUUACUCAAGUGUUACAUUGUAAGCCCGCAGGAACCACUAAGUGAUCUUGGCCAUUUUUUAAAGUGAAAAACAAGUCAGUAUUUACUCUAACAUUAUCUUGUCAGCUCGCAAGAAAUACUAGUGAUCUGGAUUGUUAUUUUAAAGUGAAUACACAGUGGAAUGCAUUGCUGUUUUGCUGUUGUUUAUUUUUGGGAAACUCCCAAGGCACAAACCUGCCCCACCCUAUCCACGAACGUUAAAAAAAAACUCUAGUGACAAUCUAGUGACACUGAGUCAUCAUGAAUCUUUCACAAUUUCAGUGAUUUGGUUGAAUCAGCGCGGAUUGUAUGUGUGAGUAAUUACUGAUCAACAUUCUGAUACAAUUCAUUUGCCCUGAUAAAUGGUAUUACAGUAUUAUGGCAAUCGUAAUGUUUGGAUUGAAUUAGUAAGUGUGCUUAUGUAAAAGUGAGGUUUUAUAUCUGAGUAAACAAUAACAAUGUUUGUUUUGCAUUCCAGAUCCUUGUAAUGCUUUGGAAAAGCCCAGAACCACUCCAGCCACUCAAGCACCUGGUGAUCAACGCAUUAUCUAUAUCACUGGUGGUGUCAUCUUCAUCUUCAUCAUCAUUACAUGUGUUAUCUGUCUCAGAAGAAAGUGUCAAUC